AACCUGGGCCCCCUGCAUUGGGAACGCAGAGUCUUAACCACUGUGCCACCAGAGAAGUCCCUAAGCUCUUAUUUUUAAAGAAGGAGUUAAAAGGAGAACUCUUCAGCCUUGUGCUGUUUAAAGGAUGGUUUUGCAACUGAGCCCACCAUUCCAACAGACAUAUUUUGAAACUUUUCUUUGGGCAAAUAGAUGAAUUAAAUAAUCUUGUAUUUAUGUAACUUCCUUUAAAUUAACGUUGAUGCCUUCUCAGCCUUCAUUUUUGAAAUAAUUUGUUGCAAAUUUGGGGUGAUUUUAAUGGUAACAGAUUUGCUAAAUAAGAAUAAUACAUAUAUUGUUGAAAGACAGAGAUACUAAAUCUGUAUACAAAGAUUAUUUUAUUUUGUGAUACUUUGGACAUUUCAGAAAUCACAAUUACUUUGUUAGUAAAUAAUUCUUUAAAGUAAUUGCUCCUUAGUUUAUUUGUACAGUAGCCUAAAAUGAGCCUGGAUGUUUUUCUAGGGCAGCUAGCUUAUUAAACUCUCAGUGGAUUUUAAUUUUCUUAAGUUUAUGCUUGCUUUGCUUGUUAAAUUUAAUUUAAGGUUGAAGUUAAUGUCCUAUGGAAGUAAAUGCAGUGACAUCAGAUUCCAAAAUUAUAAGGUAAUGAAAUGGCCCAUCAGAAACAGCAACUUACACCAUAUUUUAAAAGUAAACCAGGGAAGGAUGUUCUGAGCAUGAGGAAAACCUGUGUCAAAUCAUUAACCAAAGUUCUGGUUAAAUAGUAGACAACUUUAUUUUUAAUUACUAAAUGCUUCAGAUAUGGAGAAGACCUUUUUGUAAAGUGUGGUGCUCAUAGCACCACCUGUUACUCCUAGAUGUAACAGGUGUUAACGUUUUGCCACGUUUACACCAGAUUUCUGUCACUUGUUUUUAAGAGAUAAAUGGUCCCAGAUACAAUGUCUGGAUGUCUUCUCCCUUCCUAUUUCCUCAGAGGUCUCUGUAAGCUGAAUUUGUCGUGUUUCAUUCCUUUGUAUGUUUUUAUAUAUUGCGAGAAUCCGUAAGCAAUGUAUAGUUUGUAUUUUGGAUUAAAUAUUUAUAUAAAUGCAA